UUGAGUUUGAUCCUGGCUCAGGGUGAACGCUUGUGGUAAGCCUUAUACAUGCGAGUUGAACGUAUUUUUACGUAGCGAACGGGUGAGUAAUGCAAAGGUUAUUUGCUUUUAGAUUCGGAAUAAAAUACCGAUGUAAAAGAAUCAGAUCGUCUAAAAAUAAGCUUUUGUAGAAUUAGGUAGUUGGUAAGGUAAAGGCUUACCAAGCCGACGAUUCUUAGCUGGUCCGAGAGGAUGAUCAGCCACACUGGAACUGAGACAAGGUCCAGGCUUUUUUAUAAAGCCAGCAGUAGGGGAUAUUGGACAAUGAGCUAGCGCUUGAUCCAGCUAUACCACAUGAGUGAUUAAGGCUCUUUGGCUGUAAAACUCGAUAUUUUGGGAAGAGAAUGACAAUACCAAAAGAAAAGUCCCGGCUAACUUCGUGCCAGCAGUCGCGGUAAUACGGAGGGGGCGAGCGUUAUCUGGAAUAAUUGGGCGUAAAGGGUUCGUAGGCUGUAUUUUGCUGUUGAAUGUUAAAAAUCAGAGCUUAACUUUGAAAAUGCAUUCAAAACGUUUAUACUUGAGUACGAAAUAGGACAAUGGAAUUUUACAAGGAGGGGUGAAAUCCGUAGAACUGUAAAGGAAUGUCAAAAGCGAAGGCAGUUGUCUGGGUCGUUACUGACGCUAAGGAACGAAAGCGUGGGUAUCCAACAGGAUUAGAUACCCUGGUAGUCCACGCCGU
rnacentral:rRNA from 1 species